rnacentral:rRNA from 1 species
UGUUUCGGCUAGGGGGUCAUCCCGACUUACCAACCCGAUGCAAACUGCGAAUACCGGAGAAUGUUAUCACGGGAGACACACGGCGGGUGCUAACGUUCGUCGUGAAGAGGGAAACAACCCAGACCGCCGGCUAAGGUCCCAAAGUCAUAAUUAAGUGGGAAACGAAGUGGGAAGGCUCAGACAGCCAGGAUGUUGGCUUAGAAGCAGCCAUCAUUUAAAGAAAGCGUAAUAGCUCACUGGUCGAGUCGGCCUGCGCGGAAGAUGUAACGGGGCUAAAUUAUGCACCGAAGCCGCGGCAGCGAUAUGUAAAUAUUGUUGGGUAGGGGAGCGUUCUGUAAGCCUGUGAAGGUGGCCUGUGAGGG